GACGAACGCUGGCGGCGUGCUUAACACAUGCAAGUCGAGCGGUAAGGCCCUUCGGGGUACACGAGCGGCGAACGGGUGAGUAACACGUGGGUGAUCUGCCCUGCACUUCGGGAUAAGCCUGGGAAACUGGGUCUAAUACCGGAUAUGACCACGGACGGCAUGGUUUUUGGUGGAAAGGUUUACUGGUGCAGGAUGGGCCCGCGGCCUAUCAGCUUGUUGGUGGGGUAAUGGCCUACCAAGGCGACGACGGGUAGCCGACCUGAGAGGGUGACCGGCCACACUGGGACUGAGACACGGCCCAGACUCCUACGGGAGGCAGCAGUGGGGAAUAUUGCACAAUGGGCGAAAGCCUGAUGCAGCGACGCCGCGUGAGGGAUGACGGCCUUCGGGUUGUAAACCUCUUUCAGCAGGGACGAAGCGCAAGUGACGGUACCUGCAGAAGAAGCACCGGCCAACUACGUGCCAGCCGCCGCUGUAACAC
rnacentral:rRNA from 1 species